UUGUUUCAUUUUGAUAACGUGUCUAGAGGUGGUUAAGCAGGGACUCAUUGACCGAGGGCCAAUAUAUUAAGUAAGAGGGCAGACAUAAUAAUCGACCGUAGUUGUAAGAAAACCAGUUAUACAUGUUCCCUCCUUGCUUAAUAAAGAACAAGGUCGUUUGAGUUUCAGUUUUACUCAAGAAGUAUUUACCUUUCUUUUUUAUACUAGAAUGCUCCGGUUUUAGUGUUCUGUUAGAUCAUAAUUAUAUCUACAGAAAAGUCCAAGAAAAGGAGAAAGGAGAAAGAAGUGAAACCAAAUAGAUGUCGUUUUAUCGAAGGAAGGAAGCCGAACCCCUUUCCGGACCGAUUUGGCCGAUUUGUAACUCGCGAGUGCACUGAAUCUUUCAAGUUUUUUAAACUUAAUCUCGUUUUUAUAACUUGAUCAACCUCACUUGAAAGUGUGUAUGAGCGUUUAUAAACCAGAUCUGCGGUUGCGUGGCGCAAUAUUGCAAACUGAACACUCUUGCUUUGACAAUGCUGAAUGUCAGACUGAAAAAUUUGGAUUGGGUUUAACUGCAACCCAGCUUUCCUCGCUCUUCUUUCACCCUCGUCAUAAGGAUAUUCAACAUCUCCUCGCAUCAAAGUGAGAUCGCAAGAAAGUGCAGAUCAACAUCUCUUCUGCAUAUUUGAGAAUGUUAAUGUUUCUUCCAGCGAUUUAACAACAGUCUCGGAUUCCCCAAGGACGUCGCAUGAUGCGACAGGUUGAUUGAAUAGGUAGGGUGAAUGUAUACAACUUUGCCCUACUCCUUUCCCAACGUUAAACCAGUCCGUUGUUCCGUGCUCUGUUCUUACCGUUGCUAUUAAGUCGUUUCCAGAUUCUUCAGGAGGCAAGCAAGAUGUCUUGGUAUCUGAACACCACCAAAAAUCUGUCAGAAUUUAUUAUGAUCCGCAUAUUCAAAGGCUUUAGUCAAUAAAACAGAAACAGAUGUUUUUCAGAAACUCCCUGGCUUUCUUCAUUACCCAGCGUAUAUUGGUUAUUUAGUUUCUAGUUCAUAUGGCUUUUCUAAAUCCAGCUUAUACAUCUGGACAUUCCCGCUCCAUGAAUUGCUGGAAUCUAUCUAUCUAAUGUUGCAAGAUCUUGAGCAUUACCUUAUUAGCAUGUGAAAUAAGUUCACUUUGAACAUACUUUAGUGCUUCCCUUGUUUUGUAUGGGGAUACAAAUUGAUCUUUUCCCAA